rnacentral:lncRNA from 1 species
GGUUUCCUACAGCUGAAGCUAUAGAGAGCCCUAUUCUGAAGCAGUCACACAAUAGAUGCUUCAAUCUAAUAUAUGGAUAUGUCUUAUUCAUAGGCUCUGGCUGCUAAUGCUGUGUCCAUCUACUGCACAUAUGGCUUGCUGCCUUGUGUACAUUAAUCCUGGUAGAAAGAUAAUCCUUAGUUCUGCUUAUGUAUUGUUUAUGACAUUGUAUUGUGUGGUCAUAGAGUGGGAUGUAAUAGAUACCAGAUCUCUUCUCUGGACUAAUAGCAUCCUUAUUGUUUCUAAGCACUGAAAAAAUAGUGGGUUUUCUUCUAUAAAUAAGAUUACAUUAGACACCAUCAGUUGCUCUUCUAAGCACAGUAUCCAGUGAUGGAUUAUAUGUUAUGGUACAAUAUUGUUGGUUUAACUGCACUCCACCAUCUUGAAUUGGGUAUAAAAAUGACAUAGUAUCAAUGGAUGUCAUAGAUUUAGUAAUUUCUUCCCAAUUAACAUGAUCAAUGCAGAUAAAUGAGGCAAAGCUAUUUCUCAGAUAUGUCGACGACCUUUUUGUUAUAUGGGAAGCGGGUAAAGAUGUACAUAGCCUACAAGAGGCUUUCACUCUGCAAUCAUGGGCUGACACUUAAAAUCGACCAGGUGAGCCUAAGC